UUUUCAAACCCCCCUACUAUGUGUUCGACCUGAUUCUGAACCGAAGUUGGUCCUUGUGAGACGACCUAGGAGUCACUUCCUAGUCUAUACUGCAUUUCUAAUAUGCAAUCAAAUUUGAUUGGGCGGCGACACCCAUCAGUUGUCUUAGCUUGGUAGUGGUGAAAAACCAUCCAUUUCUCUCUUCAUUUCCUUGUUCUUUGAAGUUGGAAGCUUGAGCUUUGAAGUUUUUCUUUGCAUUUUCAUGAUGGUUCUUGGGUUUGAAUGAAGUUAUAUUUCCGUUUUCCUCUCCAUUUGCUGCAGUACUCAUGGUUUUCUUUGUAUUUUGGUUGGUUGGUUGAUGAAAAUGGAGUUUUAUGUGAGUUUUGGGUUGAAGAAAGCUUAAGGUGUUGUGUGGGUGUUGUGGGUUUGGCACUUUCCUUCCAUAUUUCGGUUUGGAUGUUUGAAACCAGUUUGGAACCAAAGUUUGAUGUGUUAUUGUGGCUGGACAGUGCUGGAGUUGAAGGGUAAGUUAUUAUUUUCGUUUUUGCACAAGAGCUCGAAGAAAUGGAAGAUUGGGUUGAGUUGAAGUAGUAGUAGUGUGGGUUUAUUGUUCUUGAAUGGUGUUGCAACUUGAAAUGGGGUUUCUUGGGUGUGUAUGGGUGGAGAAACCGAAAAGAGCAAAGGAAGGAAGAGAGAGAGGAGUGCAAUUAAUUUCUUUACCAUUUUUGGGCAAACAAACAUAUGAUGCUUCUUUUGACUAAGAAUGUUUCUACUUUGAGCUUUGGUUUUUGAAUUGUUGCAGCCGAGAAUUGCAAGGGGAUGGGAGGUCCUUGGUUGUUUAUUUUCAUUUGGUUUUGCUUACAUAGCACAUUGGGAGAAGCAUUCAAUAUAUUGUCCAUUUAGCCAGUGGUUUUUAGAGCACUUUUUGCACAAUGGUUGUUGGUAGGCUCGGCAAUUUUGGUGUUGGAGUAUGGAUUCCGAAAUUUUGCUCAUAGAAAGAGAGAAGGGAAGUUUUCAUUGGGAUUGUUGAAGCACAUGUCUAAUUUCCUUGAAGAAUGGUACACAUGGGACAAGAAGUCAACUCAUUUGGUGGAUAUUUGAAAGUUAAAUUUUGAAUUGGUAUUUGGAAAAACAUGAUGCACGACCAUGUGGUUUUCUUUGGCCAAUUGGACUUUUAAAAUUAAUUG
rnacentral:lncRNA from 1 species